rnacentral:lncRNA from 1 species
GCAGUUAAUGGUAUUUUGGAAGUUUACAAAAUAUGACUGCUGAGGCUCCAGCCUUGUGAACUGAGACUAGUGGGUCAUUGUCCUCUCUGGGAUGAGAAAGCUACUGUGGGACCACUUCGAACUGCUGAGGAACCAUCCUCAAGGACAAAACAACUAUGGGACACUUAGCCUCUUAAGGUGAUGCCAUUUGUUUCUGGAAACAUCCUCACAGUCACACCCAGAAGAAGUGUAUGGAGUGUAUAUGUGGAGUGUGAGACAGGGAUGGGAUGUCUGUCUAUAAGAGUGACUGCAUUUUAGACGGCCAGGGGUGUAGUCCAGUGGCAGAAUGCUUGCCUAGUACAUGGGAGGCUCUGGGUCCCAUCUCCAGAACCAACAACCGUCACAACAGGAUCAAUGAAAACACCAAAACUUCUCUUAAAGGUGUGAUUUAAUGAGCUGCUUGAAACUGUCAGAAGGAUCUCAGUACUUCUAAGACACAAUGAGGUAACUCAGGAAAGCACCCUCAAGACUGGCGGAGGCCCACAGGCUCACCCACUCACAGGAAGAGCAACUGGCAUUCAUCAGUGAAGUAUUCCCAGCUCUGAACGGCCUACUUUCUGAAUCCUCCUGGUAACUGGAGACAGGUCUCUCAGGGUCAAAAUACGAGUCUGCCAACUGUAUUGAAGCCUCCUCCACCGCCCCCACCAGUUGGCCCACAGCUUCCUGGUGGGUCAUUGUCAUCAAAUCCAUUGGGUCGGAACGAACAGGAAGCAGAUGCAGCUUGCAGGGCCCGGGCUCGAGCAUUCAAUUCUUGUUCCUGCUCUGUUCUUCUCACAACCUCCAACCUUCAAAUACUGUGAUCUGUAAGGCUGAGUGACACAGGCAAGGAAGAGAUGACCCGAUACAUUCUAUUUCUUUUACCUGGAUAUUAAGCCAUCUGCAUAAGUGUUAAUGGUAACCGGCAAUAUUUCAUACUAUAUGUAUGACGAGUGGAAAUACAUACAUCCAAUCUUAGGCUUCAGUAUCCUUGGAAAAUGUGUCAACUUUAAAGUUAGACCAUUGGAUUAAGUCUGUUACUCAGUACUGUUCAGAAAUGCUAUCUAUGCUUGCAACUCACCUGCAAAUACAGCUUGUUGUCCUUUGUUAUGGCAUCCAUCAGCUCUUUCUGUAGGGGUGGAUCUCCAUUGGCCCAGACACCACUGGCUGGAUUGUCACUGUCUAUGCCAUUAGCUCUGCUUUGUUUUUUGUACAAAAGCACAUAAGCUGUGUCUUUUGGAAACCUACUUGUGAUUUUCUGAACUGACUGAAAUGAAGUAAAUGUCACCCUGCUGUCAUUAAAUAAAAACCACUCUUGUGACAUUUCUUCUUCAGGGACAGAAGAGCUUUCAGCACAGUGAAACUCAACAGGAGGACUGCCUAAUACUCUUUGAUUCACAACUGAGUCGCAGAAACCUGAGGUACUCAGAGCAGUCCUGUUGUGACCUGGGAGUAAACCACGGAGGUCUGGAAGCCUCAAAAAAUAUCCGAGGAAUUCAAAGGCAGUUGAUAAUGAACCUGGGUCAUGCGUGCUCAAAUCUUAGGUAUUCUCACAAAACGAAAAUGAACAGACAUAAAAAAAGACCUGGUUAAACUGAAAAUGUGGAUUCUCUCUGUAUUUGAAAUAUUUGUGGCAUAAAGUGACAGUGCCUUUCUUGGUUCUCGAAAGCAUGGAAACCUCCUGAAGGGUUUCUUUCCUAAUAUCUCUGAUUUAGU